GCGUGAAGUUGGAAUCGCUAGUAAUCGCGGAUCAGCAUGCCGCGGUGAAUACGUUCCCGGGCCUUGUACACGCCGCCCGUCACACCAUGAGAGUCGGGAACACCCGAAGUCCGUAGCCUAACCGCAAGGGGGGCGCGGCCGAAGGUGGGUUCGAUAAUUGGGGUGAAGUCGUAACAAGGUAAC
rnacentral:rRNA from 1 species